CAUGGCCGUCGUCAGUUCGUACUGUGAAGCAUCCUGUUAAGUCAGGCAACGAGCGAGACCCACGCCCACAGUUGCCAGCGUACUCUCUGGAGUGACGGGUACACUGUGGGGACCGCCGCUGCUAAAGCGGAGGAAGGAAUGGGCAACGGUAGGUCAGUAUGCCCCGAAUAUCCCGGGCUACACGCGAGCUACAAUGGUUGGUACAAUGGGUAUCUACCCCGAAAGGGGACGGGAAUCUCCUAAAACCAAUCUUAGUUCGGAUUGAGGGCUGCAACUCGCCCUCAUGAAGCUGGAAUCCGUAGUAAUCGCGUUUCAACAGAACGCGGUGAAUACGUCCCUGCUCCUU
rnacentral:rRNA from 1 species